rnacentral:rRNA from 1 species
UACAGGAGGUCCCAAGCGUUUGUUCGGAUUCAUUGGGUCGGUAAAGGGUGCGUAGGCGGCGCGGUGAAGUCGGGAUGUGAAACUCUCGGGAGCUUAACUCCGAAACUGCAUUCGAUACGUGCCGUGCUUGGAGGACUGGAGAGGAGACAUGGAAUUUACGGUGUAGCGGUGAAAUGCGUAGAUAUCGUAAGGAGACCAGUGG